AGAAGGACAGUUAUUGGGUCCAACUUCUUUUAGGCUUACAGGUGAAAUCAGAGUCGUGGAAAUACAGGGAACACAGCUUUGUAAUUUUGAAUGGUGCCUAAUGUAUCUUCUUCAGAUCUGUUUAUAUUGGAACGGCUCUCAGCCAGGUGGUAUCAAGUCCGGAGUUUCUCUCUUAUUUUGGCCACAGAUCGAUCGUAACACCAGACUGUUGUGGUUCGUUGUCAUAGCCUUUUCUAUACCCUGGAGCACAACACUUAGGGGGCAUGAUUGGAAUUACAAAACGCAAUAAAGAUGGCGUCCAUAAAGAAACUAAUAGUUAUUAUGUAGUUAUUACUUAUUAUCUUACCAAACACGUUGCAUUGUUUUUUGUUUUUUUUCAAUAUACCCAUGUUGCAAGCGUAUUUGAAUUCAUGUUUGCAAGUGCCCUGUCCUGCUUACAGGAGUCAUUGACUAAAUUCAAUAGAUCACCCUUUAUACAUAUAUUUUUUACGUGAGGUUUAAUCAAAAAAAGACAAAAGAAAUUUGGAACACAGUGUAUGUUUACACAUAACUUAAGAACAAUUCUUCACUAUAUGUGCAAAAAAGAUUUUUUUUAAAUUAUACUCCCAUCUACAAGCUUACAAAGCCCUUCAAAAUUAAUUAAUAAAAAUAUUAAAUGAGGACCAUUUGUGAAUAACUGUGUUAUCAAUUCUUUUGUUAAAAGCAUAUCUCAUUUCUUUUGGAGUAAUUGUUCAUACUUUACCAGUAUUUUAUUUAAUCUACAUUAACUAUUGUGAACAUUACUUGAUCAAAUAAAUCUUAGGUACUGUUAGCUGUAUAUUUGAUAUUAGUAGAAUAUGGUCGUGAAGAUGGGUGUACUUUUUGUGUCCAUAUACUUUUAGUAUUCGGGUGAUUUAUAGUCCAGAUUUAUUAUAUAACCAUGGAAAGUGGUUAAGGGUCCCAAAAUUUGAAACUCUUUCAUAAAACAACUUGUGAAUUGAGUAAAAAUCACUAAAUUGCUUUAACUAAAACUACAUUAAUAUUUGCUCCAGAAGGAUGGUGCUUGCUGUAGGUUUUUUGCAAUUUUAUUUCUCGCAUUAUUUAUGAUUAAUUUUAAUCAUUUGUUCUUUUCCAUCCCCAAAGACUGAAAUAUUAUUAUAAUAGAUUGUAUACAUUAAAUUUUUCCUUUGUCUUCUAUAUAAAACUUGCCACAAGACUUUCAUCAUUAUCAUGUUUUAUGCCAUCUAAUUGUUGUUACUAUAAUCAAGUAAUAUGAACAAGAAGACUAUUUAUUUUUAAGCUCGUAAGCAAUAAAUCUUUUUUCAAAGAAUUAGUAAGAUAUAGAACCAGCAGUCCUGUUUUAGCCAUAGUCUGGGAAGUUUGUAACGCUAUAAAUACUUUUUCCAUCAUGUUGGGAGACCCAAAUCUAAAUAACUCUCCACCUAGAAUCAUCCGUGGAGACUUUUAGAUGUAAAUCACACGUAAUAUUUUUCAUGGAUCUGAUGCUGUUGCAUCCACAGAAAAGAAAGUAUCAUUAUUUUGAAAUGACGGCUUACAAAAUUUCGUAAUUUUAGAAGAGCCAACUUGAUUAUUGAAAAAGUUAAUCACUUUUUUUAUGAAAAUGUUGUAUUCUCUUUGGUUUUCAUAUAUUAAUCCUCUUACGUUAUGUGUUUAAUAACCAUAAUGAUAAAUAAACUUUUCGAUCAAAUUAUCUACACUCUGCCUAGCAAUCAGCAGCUAGGUUUUAUCUGUGAAGCCCUCCCUCUAAUAAUGCAUUGUUUUAUAGCAGUAGUUUUGUUAUCCCAGUUUAAAAACGUGGCUUGUUUCGUAUCAUUAUUAAGUCGAAUUUUCGCUUUUUAUAUAUUUAUUAAAUAUUGUCUGAGUUAAUUACUUUUUUGUUUGAUUGUAGUUAAAUUGCGAAGAGACAAUAAUUGUUAAGAUAUGGGUGGAGGAUGCGAGCUAGAGAACAACAACCCCUGACGGGAUUUAUAAUAUUCUUACAAGCGUUUGUGUAUGAUAACUGCCCUUCAAAUCAAUGCUUAGAUUCCUACUCAUUUAAUACAGUAAAAUUUGGCACAGAAAUGUUUUAUACCUUACCCACCUUCCGUUCAACUGGUCUCGUUUCAUCAAUCUACUUCAUAUCAUUGCCUCGUUAUCUAAUUCGUGACGUGCAUGAAUGAAUUAACGAGAUUUGAUCGGCCCUUCAUCAAUCUACUUCAUAUCAUUGCCUUGUUAUCUAAUUCGUGACGUGCAUGAAUGAAUUAACGAGAUUUGAUCGGCCCUUUUCUACUAUCGAGCGAAACUGCAGCCAUAGGAACGGACUAGGAAAGAUGAGCAGGGAAAAAAUAUCAUGUUGAGUUUUACUCUAGUCUCUUUUUUUGGCCGAGCAUCUUGGGCGUAGAAUAAGAAGAAGAUGUUAACAUUGCAAGUGAAAUACUUAUACUAAGAUUAAUACUCCCCUUACUCGGUUAAGCAGGAUUAUCUUGAUUUCAAGAUUUUUUCCUGCAUCGAUCAUCAAAUAUUUGUUCUUCAUUGAGACCUGCUUCGAGGACAUUGUGAGGCUGGGGUUUUACUGGGGCUGUACAUCUGUCAAAUGAUAACGCAUAUUUCCUAAUACCAGGUCAUUGAGGACGAAAACCUCAUGUAAAGCAAUAGGGCAAAUGGUGGCUUGACCUCUUCAUUCAGUACAGGGNGGGGGGGGGGGAGCAGAGACGCCGUCCUAUUGAUUUUCUUUAUUUAAGAGCUUUAAGAAAGAGAUGCCAGAAAAAUUACCACAGCGAUAACUGGCAUGUAGCGGCCAAGCGGUCAUAGUGACAUCGCUUUUUGAUCCUUUGAUCUCAUCUCUUCCUAUAAUUUCGAAACAGAAUUGGCAAUGCGUCAGAUUGUUCACCCUUUAAUAGGGAACGUGAGCUGGAUUCAGACCGUUGUGAGACAGGUUAGUUUUACCUUACUCACGACUCGUCGUUGCGAUAGUAAUCCUACUCAGUACCAGAGGAACAGCAGGUUCGGAUAUUUGGUAUUAGUACUUGACUCAUCAGUUAGUGUUGAGAAGCUAUCAUCUCUGAGAUUAUGUCUGAAUACGUCUUAGGCAUAAUCUCAUCAAGAUAUGUCAAUGAUAUCGUUAGUUCGAUCAUUUCAGUUGGAGGAAAAAUAUCAAGCUUGUUCUUGCUUCAAAAUCCCUCAUUAAUGGGAGGAUUGGUUUGUAGAAUUCAACACUUUAUUAUAUUAGCU
rnacentral:rRNA from 1 species